rnacentral:misc_RNA from 1 species
GGAGGAGCGGGUGUGCAUGGAACAUUUGUAAGAGAAGAUGGUGAACAACAUUCUAAAGUCUCAUUCAUUAUCUGUCUUUUCUCUACUUCCUUGCAUACAUGUGUUGUUCUCUAUAGACUACUGACUUUUCAACAACUGUAUACUUGAAAUUGGAUGGGAUUGAUAUAUUUAAAGUGCACCCACAACCAUUUCCCAGAUUGAAGCCCUUCUCACAUUACUCGGAAUUAAGACCAAUAGUCUGCUAUGCCUCUUCUCAUGUUUAAUUUCAAUAAAUUGUUGACUUUUACUAAUUCAUAAUAGAGUUGUUUGCAAGAGUCUAAUUGUUAGGUGAAUGGAUGCCAUAGUAAAGGACAGCUGCUGAGUAAACGUUUCAUCUUCCAUCAUAGACAAAAGUUUCCUGGGACUCAUCAAGGCAUACACAUUGAUUCCAGCAACAAGAUCUAGGCAUGCGUUUGUACACUUACAUUUUUCAAUGGAACUGGGUUGGGUCGCAUGGGCGGUAACCAAAACCUCACCUAAACUUCCCUAUUUGGUUUACAAAUUUUGGACAUCAAAACCAUUAAAUUAAAGGAGAAAACCAUUUUUUUUUUAAAGCGAAAAGGUUGCUUGUAACUUUAUUUGGUUAUGGGUUAACCACAAUCCCUCUAAGUGUGAACAGUUCUAAGUCAAACGCACAGAAUCAACAUCAGUUAACAUUGAAUGAAGUUCCCAAUUUCAGCCAGAAGAAAAUCAAGUGCAAGAACAAUAGCAAAAUACAAACCUGUAAUAGAUUCAAUAUAAACACAUAAGAGAGAGAAAUAGAGAGACAUGCAUUCUUAUUUCCCUCCAACUGAUCAAACCAUAAGGCCUUAGAUACUCAUUAUCAAUAAUACAAAUAAUAAGCUUCAAUUAACUGUAAAAUCACAUGCAAUGAAAACCCGCCAAUUUAUUUUGUUAAUCAAAACUCAAAAAUUCGAUAAUCUGAAUAUUCUAAAAUGAGACAUGAAGAAAUUUUAAGGAGAACAGAAUCUGAUCAAAGUUUACUAAAAUUAAGCUUUAUUUAGAUGCCUCAAGAAUCAUCAUCAGGCAUUAAGUCAAGAAACCCUACAUGAAAUACAUGUUAUUCAAGAUAGCUUCCCAUUACCGACUUCUUGUAAGUUUUCCACCAUUUAUUCCAAAACAGCAGAAGGUGCAAGGAAACAAGAAUCUAAGACAAAGUAUAUUCAUGGAUUUACCUCCUGGCAUGACCCCUGUUCCACCAGCAAUACCUGCAGCAGUAUUUGCAACAAGAUUGCCAUAAAGAUUAGGUGUCACCAUGACAUCAAACUGCUCUGGCUUUGAAACAAGUUGCAUGCAGCAAUUGUCCACAAUAAUUUCAUUGUAUUUGAUCCCAGGAUAUUUUGUAGCGACCUCUCGACAAGAUUCCAAGAACAAACCAUCCGCAAGCUUCAUGAUGUUAGCUUUGUGCACAGCUGUCACCUUCUUCCUGUUGUUCAGGUAUGCAUACUCAAAAGCAUAUUUUGCAAUACGCUCGGAGCAGAACUUUGUUAUCACCUUAAGGCUUUCAACGACUCCAGGAACAACCUCAUGCUCGAGGCCAGAGUAUUCUCCCUCAGUAUUCUCUCUAAUCACAACAAUAUCGACAUUCUCGUGGCGCGUAGGCAAUCCAGGCAAAUUGAAGCAGUUUACAAGGGAAGCGUACAAAUCAAGCUCCUUCCUCAGCUGCACAUUUAAUGAACUAACACCUCCGCCCAUAGGAGUGGCCAGCCCUCCCUUCAAGCACACCUUAUUCUUCUUAAUUGAUUCGAUCACCUCCGCCGGAACCUUCUUCAUAUCCCCGUGCGCCUCAUACCGCUCAAAGUAAACCGGCGCGUGCAUCGCCUCCAUCACUUGCUCCACGGCACCUGUCACCAGAGGCCCGAUUCCAUCACCAGGAAUUAAGGUUACAGCGCGAGGGGCGCCAUCACCAGGGCGGGGCAUAUAGGUGACGGAUCGGCGAGAAGUGAAUCUGGAGCAUGGCGAUGGAUUCUGCGAUGAGGAGAGGAGUUUCUUCAGAACAGGAAUGGAUCUUCUGGCCAUGGAAUUUGGUUCUUUCUCUUUUCGCCGGGUCGGAGUAUUUUCCGCUGAGAUUGAAUUUAUGGUUUUCGAUUGAUUGAGC